GAAUCAACGCUGGCGGCGCGCUUAACACAUGCAAGUCGAGCGAGAAAGGGGAGCAAUCCCUGAGUAAAGCGGCGCACGGGUGAGUAACACGUGGGGCAUCUACCUCCUGAUGGGGAAUAACUCUGGGAAACCGGAGCUAAUACCGCAUAAGCCUGAGAAGGGAAAGUCGCAAGACGUCGGGAGAGGACCCCGCGGCCGAUUAGCUAGUUGGUGAGGUAACGGCUCACCAAGGCAAAGAUCGGUAGCCGGCCUGAGAGGGCACACGGCCACACUGGCACUGAAACACGGGCCAGACUCCUACGGGAGGCAGCAGUGGGGAAUCUUGCACAAUGGGGGAAACCCUGAUGCAGCGACGCCGCGUGAGCGAUGAAGCCCUUCGGGGCGUAAAGCUCUUUCGGCCCGAACGAUAAUGACGGUACGGGAAGAAGAAGCUGCGGCUAACUACGUGCCAGCAGCCGCGGUAAUACGUAGGCAGCAAGCGUUGUUCGGAGUUACUGGGCGUAAAGAGUGCGUAGGCGGUGUCGAAAGUUUGGCGUGAAAUCUCCCGGCUUAACUGGGAGGGUGCGCCGAAAACUGCGACGCUGGAGUGUGGGAAAGGCAAGCGGAAUUCCUGGUGUAGCGGUGAAAUGCGUAGAUAUCAGGAGGAACACCGGCGGUGUAGACGGCUUGCUAGACCAUAACUGACGCUGAGGCACGAAAGCGUGGGUAGCAAACAGGAUUAGAUACCCUGGUAGUCCACGCCCUAAACGAUGCAUACUUGGUGUGGGCAGUUCAUUCUGUCCGUGCCGGAGCUAACGCGUUAAGUAUGCCGCCUGGGGAGUACGGUCGCAAGGCUG
rnacentral:rRNA from 1 species